rnacentral:rRNA from 1 species
GACGAACGCUGGCGGCGUGCUUAACACAUGCAAGUCGAACGGAAAGGCCCUGCUUUUGUGGGGUGCUCGAGUGGCGAACGGGUGAGUAACACGUGAGUAACCUGCCCUUGACUUUGGGAUAACUUCAGGAAACUGGGGCUAAUACCGGAUAGGAGCUCCUGCUGCAUGGUGGGGGUUGGAAAGUUUCGGCGGUUGGGGAUGGACUCGCGGCUUAUCAGCUUGUUGGUGGGGUAGUGGCUUACCAAGGCUUUGACGGGUAGCCGGCCUGAGAGGGUGACCGGGGAGGGUGGGGCGGAGGUGCGGCCGAGACGGGUACGGGAGGCAGCAGUGGGGAAUAUUGCACAAUGGGCGGAAGCCUGAUGCAGCAACGCCGCGUGCGGGAUGACGGCCUUCGGGUUGUAAACCGCUUUCGCCUGUGACGAGGCGUGAGUGACGGUAAUGGGUAAAGAAGCACCGGCUAACUACGUG